GGAAAAUAUAAUUAAAUUAUAAUAUUAAUUUGUGGAAUUAAUUUUAAUGGUUAAAGUCCAUUUUUUUUCC
rnacentral:tRNA from 1 species